AUUGAACGCUGGCGGCAGGCUUAACACAUGCAAGUCGAACGAUGACUCUCCAGCUUGCUAGUGAUGAUUAGUGGCGGACGGGUGAGUAACAUUUAGGAAUCUACCUAGUAGUGGGGGAUAGCUCGGGGAAACUCGAAUUAAUACCGCAUACGACCUACGGGGGAAAGGGGGCGCAAGCUCUGGCUAUUAGAUGAGCCUAAAUCAGAUUAGCUAGUUGGUGGGGUAAAGGCCCACCAAGGCGACGAUCUGUAACUGGUCUGAGAGGAUGAUCAGUCACACCGGAACUGAGACACGGUCCGGACUCCUACGGGAGGCAGCAGUGGGGAAUAUUGGACAAUGGGGGCAACCCUGAUCCAGCCAUGCCGCGUGUGUGAAGAAGGCCUUGUGGUUGUAAAGCACUUUAAGCAGGGAGGAGAGGCUAAUGGUUAAUACCCAGUAGAUUAGACGUUACCUGCAGAAUAAGCACCGGCUAACUCUGUG
rnacentral:rRNA from 1 species